AACGGUCUAUACCUGCGGUACCUGCGGAAGGAUCAUUAAAGAGAAAACUGCCCUUUGGGUAGAUUUCCCACCCUUUGUUUACUUUACCUUUGUUGCUUUGGCAGGCCCGUCUUCUGACCACCGGCUUCUAGCUGGUCCGUGCCUGCCAGAGGACCCCCAACUCUUGAUUUUAAGUUGUCCGAGUCUUAUAUAAUAGUAAAAACUUUUAACAAUGGAUCUCU
rnacentral:misc_RNA from 1 species